rnacentral:rRNA from 1 species
GACGAACGCUGGCGGCGUGCUUAACACAUGCAAGUCGAACGGAAAGGCCCUGCUUUUGUGGGGUGCUCGAGUGGCGAACGGGUGAGUAACAAGUGAGUAACCUGCCCUUGACUUUGGGAUAACUUCAGGAAACUGGGGCUAAUACCGGAUAGGAGCUCCUGCUGCAUGGUGGGGGUUGGAAAGUUUCGGCGGUUGGGGAUGGACUCGCGGCUUAUCAGCUUGUUGGUGGGGUAGUGGCUUACCAAGGCUUUGACGGGUAGCCGGCCUGAGAGGGUGACCGGCCACAUUGGGACUGAGAUACGGCCCAGAGUCCUAAGGGAGGCAGCAGUGGGGAAUAUUGCACAAUGGGCGGAAGCCUGAUGAAGCAACGCCGCGUGCGGGAUGACGGCCUUCGGGUUGUAAACCGCUUUCGCCUGUGACGAAGCGUGAGUGACGGUAAUGGGUAAAGAAGCACCGGCUAACUACGUG